GACGAACGCUGGCGGCGUGCUUAACACAUGCAAGUCGAACGGAAAGGCCCUGCUUUUGUUGUGUGCUCUAGUGUCGAGCGUGUGCGUAACACUUGAGUACCCUGCCCUUUCGUCUCGGAUAACUUCAGGAAACUAUGGCUAACACCGGGUAUGAGCUCCUUCUGCAUAUUGGGGCUUGGAGAGUUGAGUCGAUUGGGGAUGGACUCGCUGCUUAUCAGCUUGUUGGUGGGGUAGUGGCUUACCAAGGCUGUUACGGGUAGCCGGCCUGAGAGGGUGACCGGCCACACUGGGACUGAGAUACGGGCCAGACUCCUACGGGAGGCAGCAGUGGGGAAUAUUGCACAAUGGGCGGAAGCCUGAUGCAGCAACGCCGCGUGGGGGAUGACGGCCUUCGGGUUGUAAACCGCUUUCGACGGUGAAGAAGCGAGAGUGACGGUACUGGGUAAAGAAGCACCGGCUAACUACGUG
rnacentral:rRNA from 1 species